AUGGUGACCGUGAUCUAUUCCA
rnacentral:miRNA from 1 species